CUCUGUUCAUCUGUCCUUUCCCAGGCAGGGUGAGAGCUGGGUAUGGAACACUGGGUUAGGAACAAUCGUGGCCAGCCUACAUUAUUUCUCUGCCAACUGAUUAUGCACGCAGGUGUGGCUGUGAUGGACACUGCCCUGCCCAUCCUGUUGAGGCAGGGAAGCUCAACGUGAUCAGAAUUUCCUUCGGAGGUAAAACGAUGCCCUGUGCCACACGGGGAGAUUCUGUAGCAGUGUUGAGACGUGUAAUAACCAGGAAGAGAGCUGCCUAUCAUGCUUGUAUCUAGAGAAAAUUAACAGGAAAGUCAGCAGUGUUUGCAGCCACAACACAGACAGCUGGUUUUGAAAGCACCUCUGUGGUUACUGCCUUACCUGGAAAGAGGGGUAGAAGAGCUGUGGCCACAUGCACACAAGUGUAGGAGUCACAUAGACGGUUAGGGAGAGUUGCACUGCUUCUGUCCACCCUGUGCUGCUGUCUCCUGUCUAGCAGAUGUUGUCAUGCACAUCAGCCCAUGCAGCAUGCUCUUGUUCCCCUCCACCUUCUGCCGCCUGGCUGUGCAGGCGCCCAGAGCUGGAGGCUGACAGCAGCUGGGCUCCCUGCCUG
ensembl:lncRNA